rfam:Trichosporon asahii var. asahii CBS 8904 unplaced genomic scaffold scaffold00105, whole genome shotgun sequence.
GGGCGUCUAGCUCAGUUGGUAGAGCGCGUCAUUAGCACUGGAUAAUUGACGAGGUCUUUGGUUCGAUUCCUAAGUCGUCCA